AUGGAGACAGGACCCAUCCGAGCACAGCAGCUGAGGACAGGCAGCUGAGAUGAGUCCUACAGCCCUUCCAUGGGUGACGUGUUCUUGUGUACUCAUGUGCUGAUGGAAUGCACCAAUAAGGCAUCUCCCUCCUGUGGGAAUCUCAUUUGAUUAGAAGUUAAACAUUCAGUUCCCAAAGAAAAUUUAAAGCUCUGCCAAUAACAGAAGGGAAAACAAACAAACAAACAAACAUUUCACACAAAUUUUCUUCUGGUGAUGCUUGAAGAAACAUGAAAACCCUGUAGUACCAUUUUUUGAGUUCAGGCUUGUUUUUCAGAUUUAUUUAUUUACAGAUCUAAAAUGAAAUUAAUACUCCCUUCUUUAGCAUGAGCUGACUUUAACUCAUUCAGAAUAAAAAUGAUAAUUCCUGGAAUAUCAGAAUUGUUUGCAGUAAACUGUACUGCAGCUACGUGGGAUUUGGUUGCCAUGAUGCUGUUAACUCCUUGCUACACAUUGCCAUCUUGCAUCAGUUUGAAAGGUUAUUCUGCAUCAAACAAGCUUGUUUUAGAUGAGACAGUUUCAUUCUGCAGCAGUAAAAGGCUCUUAGGAUCUGAGCUGGCUGACUGUACUUCCCUGACACGGAAGCUAAUUCCAUGCUGCAGUCACAGAGGAAUCCACGGCUUGAUGUACCCUGAUUCAACAAUGAGUGUCACAAUCUGGUCCUUAUCCUUGCAAAAGGGAAGAACUGGGAUUGCAGGUGCUGUUUCUUCUAUCAGCAUAUGCUUGACUGAAAGCAUCUGA
rnacentral:lncRNA from 1 species